rnacentral:rRNA from 1 species
GACGAACGCUGGCGGCGUGCUUAACACAUGCAAGUCGAACGGAAAGGCCCUGCUUUUGUGGGGUGCUCGAGUGGCGAACGGGUGAGUAACACGUGAGUAACCUGCCCUUGACUUUGUGAUAACUUCAGGAAACUGGGGCUAAUACCGGAUAGGAGCUCCUGCUGCAUGGUGGGGGUUGGAAAGUUUCGGCGGUUGGGGAUGGACUCGCGGCUUAUCAGCUUGUUGGUGGGGUAGUGGCUUACCAAGGCUUUGACGGGUAGCCGGCCUGAGAGGGUGACCGGCCACAUUGGGACUGAGAUACGGCCCAGACUCCUACGGGAGGCAGCAGUGGGGAAUAUUGCACAAUGGGCGGAAGCCUGAUGCAGCAACGCCGCGUGCGGGAUGACGGCCUUCGGGUAGUAAACCGCUUUCGCCUGUGACGAAGCGUGAGUGACGGUAAUGGGUAAAGAAGCACCGGCUAACUACGUG